rnacentral:rRNA from 1 species
UACGUAGGACCCAAGCGUUGUCCGGAAUUACUGGGUAUAAAGGGUGCGUAGGCGGCCUUGUGCGUCAGAGGUGAAAUAUCCGGGCUUAACCCGGAGGGUGCCUUUGAUACGGCAGGGCUUGAGUGCGAGAGAGGAUGAUGGAAUUCCUGGUGUAGCGGUGAAAUGCGUAGAUAUCAGGAGGAACACCGGUGGCGAAGGCGGUCAUCUGGCUCGUAACUGACGCUGAGGCACGAAAGCGCGGGGAUCAAAC